rnacentral:lncRNA from 1 species
AACAAUUUAUUAAAAUUUAGGAGCAGGAUCCACCCACAUUUAAGGUUUUAGGUAGUUCUACACCAAAUAAUUGAGCCCAGAUUUGGAUUAAGUUUUUUUAAAAAUAAUUUUUCUAAUUAGUUUUCAAUUACAGUCCAAUAAUAGCCUCAUUAUAACAAUACCAAUUUAUGAUACAAUUAUUAAUACCAAUCACUCAAAUACCAAAUUAUAUAAUUUAGAUAAAGUGGCCCCCGCAUGCUAGAUUUGAUGAUUUUCUAUAUUUCUAUAUUCCAAAAUCAUAUUAAUUUCAAUUACAUUCCGGUCAUAAUAAUAAUCCCUCAUACAACAACUUGUUCUUCAGGGGGCACGAUCUGUAAGAAUGUUUGAGUGGACAUGGACCAAACACAUGGUGGCCAAAGAUCCCCCCCCCCAUUUUUUUCUAUUAAUCAGGGUUUUUUUUAUAAGGUUUUAAAAUUUAAUCAAUGGCAUGAAGUUACAUUCUGAUGGUGGCUUGAGGCAUUCCUUUUGUAAUUUGGGACACAGUGCUUCAUGGGAACAAUGGCGUGUCCUGACAUAGCAACAUUCUCAGGACAAUCUGAAGAAGGGGAGAGAUGGUUUUCUCAGAGCCAUAUACUCCAGUAGGAUGAGUUAAGCAUGUGUUUAAACAAUUCUGUUUAUCUCAUUGGGAACGAUUACAAGUACUUAUGGUUGGGUCGUGUUUUUUGUUGUUUGUGUAGCCUUGUAAUUUAAACCUCUAAAAUGAAAGUUCAACAAGAUUCAAAAUUCAAAAAGCUGAACUGAAAUUAUGUUAUGGAAUCAUAGAAUCUUAGAGUUGGAAGUGACCCCAAGGAUCAUCUAAUCAAAUUCCCUGCAAUGCUGGAAUCUCCGCUAAAGCAUCCACGACAGAUGGCCAUCCAACCUCUGUUUAAAAACCUCCAAGGAAGGGGAGUCCACCACCUCUCGUGGGAGUCUGUUCCACUGCUGAACAGCUCUUACUAUCAGAAAGUUUUUCCAAAUGUUUAGUUGGAGUCUCCCUUCUUGAAGCCAUUGGUUUGAGUUCUACCCUCCAGAGCAGAAGAAAACAAGCGUGCUCCCUCCCUUCAGAUAUUUGAAGAUGGCUAUCAUAUCUCCUCUCAGUCCCCUCUUUUCCAGGCUAAAUAUACCCAGCGCUGUUUCCAGGCUAAAUAUACCCAUAAGGCUGUUUCCGGACCCUUGAUCAUCUUGGUCCCCCUCAUCUGCACAUGUUCCUGCUUGUCAACAUACAUCUUAAAUUGUGGUGCCCAGAAUUGGACACAGUAUUCCAGGUGUGGUCUGACAAAGGCAAAAUAGAGUGAUACUAUGACUUCCCUUGGCGGGACGUGGGUGGCGCUGUGGGUAAAACCUCAGCGCCUAGGACUUGCUGAUCGCAUGGUCGGUGGUUCGAAUCCCCGCGGCGGGGCGAGCUCCCGUCGUUCGGUCCCAGCUCCUGCCCACCUAGCAGUUCGGAAGCACCCUUAAGUGCAAGUAGAUAAAUAGGUACCGCUUUAUAGUGGGAAGGUAAACGGCGUUCCGUGUGCUGCUCUGGUGCCGGUUCGCCAGAGCAGCUUCGUCACGCUGGCCACGUGACCCGGAAGUGUCUGCGGACAGCGCUGGCUCCCGGCCUCUAGAGUGAGAUGAGCGCACAACCCUAGAGUCUCUCAAGACUGGCCCGUAUGGGCAGGGGUACCUUUACCUUUACCUUUAUGACUUCCCUUGAACUGAACACUAUACUUCUGUUGAUGCAGCUUUUCUUUGCUGCUGUAUCGUGCUAUUGACUCAUCUUAAGAUUGUGGUCAACCAUGACCCCUAGAUUCUUUUCACAUGUACUGCUAGUAAGCCAGGUGUCCCCCAUCCUAUAUUUGUGCAUCUGCUUCUUCCUGUCUACGUGCAGAAUCUUACAUUUGUCCCUAUUGAAAUUCAUUUUGUUAGCUUGUGCCCAGUUCUCCAAUCUGUUAAGGUCAUUUUGAAUUCUGAUUCUGUCUUUAGCUACCCCUCCCAGUUUGGUGUCAUCUGCAAAUUUGAUGAGCAUCCCCUCAAUUCCUUCAUCCAAGUCAUCUAUAAAGACUUUGAACAACAAUGGGCCCAGGACAGAAGCCUGUGGCACCCCACUUGUCACCUUUCCCCUGGAUGAUGAGGAACCAUUAAUGAAUACUCUUUGGGUUCAGUCAGUCAACCAGCUACAAAUCCACCUAACAGUUACCGUAUUUUUCACUCCAUAAGACACACUUUUUCCCUCCUAAAAAGUAAGGGGAAAUGUCUGUGCGUCUUAUGGAGCAUAUGCGUAGUCCCUGGAGCCCAGGGGUGAAAAGCAGAUCGUGCUUUUUUUUUAGAAAGUGGGAAGGGGGUGUUGAAACGAAGCCGCUGAUAGGCAAGCGAUCGGGAGGGAGAUAAGGGACGCUAGCAAUAAAGAAGGCUGCCUGGGAGGGGGAAGGUAAAGACAGCAAACUUGCAAGGAGAGGAGACAGGAAUACUAAAACAAGCAACGAGGAGAGAAAUUAGAAGAAAAGGAGGAGCAAAAAACUGCUCCAGCUAAAGAAAUGACGCUAAGGCAAACAAGAAGGAAGCCACUGAUCAGCAAGUGAUCAGGAGGGAGAUAAGGGUUGCUAGCAAUAAAGGAGGCUGCCUGGGAGGGGGUGGUAAAAGCACAUGGAUCCUCAGGAUUUUUGCAUUGGGUCACCCCAAAUUCACCAUCAGAUCACAUAGCAUGUCCAUGGCUACAGCCUGCACCAAAGAAAUCAUGCACCCACUGUUGCGUGGGGCCGCAGUGGCGCAAAAACGUGGCUACAAAGCCACAAAGGAUUCUCAGGAUUUUUACAUUGGGCUACCCCAAACUCACUGUCAAAUCACAUAUCAUGUCUGUGGCCACAGCAUAAGCCACAAAAAUCAUACAUCCACUGUUUCAUUCAGAAUAUUUUUUUUCUUGUUUUCCUUCUCUAAAAACUAGGUGUGUCUUAUGGUCAGGUGUGUCUUAGGGAGCGAAAAAUACGGUACCUGGUUCAACCAACCUUUUACCAGCUUCCUCGAGAGAAUAGAAAGGGGGACUUUGUCAUGACUUACUGUUUUUAUGCCCGUUCUGGAGUUGUGCAAACUUUUGUAGAUGUGCAGAAUUUUUGUUUAAGGCUUUAAAGAGAUAGGUUGCUACCUUCAAGCUUAUUAACACUAGGAUCUUUGGCACCUUGCAGAGGGGUAUUUGUGUCCUCUCCCUAGCUUCCUCCAAUGCCUUCCUGUCCCAUGCAUUAGUGCAAGAAAGUACAGAGGCAGGAAGCUCAAUUUUUAAAAAUCUGGAUCAAACUAGUACACUGUAAACCCACAAUUAUGUUGUCCUCUGGUGCUUUGGCUACAUAUUUUAGAUUAUUGGAGAGCACUUUAUAGUUUUGAGGUCACUUUAUAUUGUUUUUCAAAGCUAAGCACAGGUCAGUCCUACUCAGCCUUUUCCUUUGCACUCAUCGUUAUGAUGAUCUUGCUAGAUGAUGGGGGGACAUACUGGAAUAUCACAAAAUUCCUAUAGAGUGUUAUUUUUGCUCAGGAAAGGAUAGAUAGAUAACUCCAAAAAUAGCUAGUCCUUUUGUUAUUGAAGCUUACUUUAAGAGUCUUGCUUUAAGAGUCAAAGACUUCCCCAAUGGUUGAAUACCUGUUUGAUUGGGCUGGGGGGUUGUGCACCCAGAAAGAAGGCUGGAAAAUAUGCUGGACUGAAGCAUAUAUUUUUGAGGGUUGCCAUGCAUGGAGAUCAAAGCCGUGGAAUAUUGGUUGUAAUAUUCUAUUAAUGUUUCCCAUGAUGCCAUUUGCAAUAUUUAGAGCUUCCAAGCCAGUCUGUCAAUACAGAUAUUUCUAUAGUCUCAGGCUGUAAAUGUGCGACACUUUUUACAAUGUCAAUUUUUUACAAGUUUGUGGGGCCUGGAUUUUCAGGGUGAGUGAAACUUUCAUACAAAUAAAUAAUACUUCCUAAAGCAUCAAUCUGUAAUUUUGUACAAGGUGUGGGUGCAAAAAGUUUAAGGUCCUGAUCCAGCAACUCCAAUGCACAAUUGGGCUUCAAUACAAACCCUGGAGUUCUGCAUUCAUUCCCAUGUCAGGAAAAGCUCUGCAUACCUCAUAUGAAACUUCUCUACUUUUAACUAUUUGGGUAGUUUCCUGUCUAUGGAGCUUCAGAUAAUGAUGAAAGUAUCAGAUCCUUGCAACUUCUUAAUUAAGUUGCUGGGAGGGGAAUCACUGUUUUUAUGCCCACAUUAGAAUCAUAGAAUCAUAGUUGGAAGGGACCCAAGGAUCAUCUAGUCCAACCUCCUGCAAUGCAGGAAUAUUGGUAUGGGCAUGGCUAUUAAAUGCAACUCAGAUUGCUAUAACGCCUCAAAUAUGGGCAUGGAGAGCAAAGAAAGUCUUAUUUAUAGCCUAAGAGAGAAAAAGUAACUGUUUCUACUUAAGUAAAUAUGCCCAUUGCUGCUGAAUGUAACUUUUAAUAAACUUUUUCUCUUUUUAU